GCGGGAGUGCUGGAAUAGGCAGACAGGCAUGUUUGAGGGGCAUGUGUGAGAAAUCACGUGCGGGUUCAAGUCCCGCUUUCCGCACCA
rnacentral:tRNA from 1 species